GAAGGAGACAGGGAUGUGUCACAUCCUUCCAUUUCACACAUUCCAAGAGAGACACAGAGUAGGCACUGGACUCAUCUGCACCCACACCAGGCGGGCAGUCACUUUCCACCAGUGCGCCUCAGGGCAGCAAAUCUCUUAGAAAGGCCGGGGCUACUCCUAAAGAAGUGCAGCUCUGACUCCGCAGAGCCAUAUCUACCAUCCCUGCAGCAAAGAAAGGAAUGUGCCACCCAGAGGCAGGGCCUGUGGCACCAAGUAAGGCUGCGUGUCACCUGGACCACAUGGGCUGCCUCUGCUUCUGCCAGCUUCUUGCAGGGCGAGCAGCAGGGAGCUGCCUUCUCCUUGAGGCCACCAAGGCCUCCUUCAGAGGCAGGACCUGGUGCCCCCGCCCUUUUCUCGGUGCUGCUUAACAUGACAGCAGUGGGGGCAUGGCAAGCAUCUGUGCACUGCCCCCUGCCUGCCACCCCCCCCACCAGGCAGAGUGUUCCAUAAGGAUGGGCUCCCAGCCCACCAGCAUCCCCGUGGCACUAGCCUGGCACAGGGAAGGGCUCAGUCUCCUUCAUCUUGGUGGCCCUGUGACUCCACCUGGCUCCUGCUCCAAGUGGAUGACAUGUGUUUGCUGAACUAAUUCUGGAAGAAAUCGCUUCCUACUCAACCCUCUUCUGGAGGCCUGUCUCAGCCUGCUGAGCCCUCAUCCCAGCUUACAUCUAUCGAGAUGCCUGUGGUUCAGCUGACGUUGACAGGGUCCUCAGGGUGCCCCCCACCCCCUCAAUGAAGCAUGAGCUCUUCUACACCCGCCAGAGGUCACCGGGCAGAGGCCAAAGUUGCAGGGACCUUGCUGAAUGCUGGGCCCACCCCAGACCGCCCCGGGGCACCUCCCAGGGCAGAGCCAGGAACAGAGUGCAGCUCCGCAGCCUAGACACCGCGUCGGCUGUGGUGGGGGUGGGAAGAGGUCUGCAGAACAAAGCUGGAGUCAGGGCAGAGCAGGGAGCUGGGCCUCAUGCCAGUGAGGGGGCAGGGCAGAAAGCCUCCUUGUGGGGAGCUGGGGGAGCUCAGGAGGCUGGCUGUGCAGGGCAAUGGAGUGGAGACCCGUAGCUCACUGUCCAGGACAACAUGCUCUAAGAAAGCGUAUCGAAAUCCAUCCCCAGGACUUUAGGGAAAGAAGGCAGCCAAGGCAAACAGGCUCCAGGUCUCUAUCUGCAGUCCUGGCUCAGGCCCCGGCCAGGGCGGUGAGUGCCACGUCCCGGCUGGGUGUGAACGUGGGUGCGCGUGCAAGAAUGCAGGCUUCGCGCUGGCGGCCUUGGAGGGGGCAGACACCCUGCCCAGGAGGCCCUGCACAGAGCAGGCUUUAUUCCCUCUGGUCGUGCAGGAGGUGGUGCCCUGGCUGGGGGCUCUCGCCAGCGGUGGCCUCAAUAACACUUUGUGUCGUGUUCUCCUGCGCUCUGGUACGGGCCUGGUCCCAAGCUGCGUAGCCUCGCUGUGGGGCCAUGGUCAUAAAUGACUCUAAGGUUCAUUUCAUACCUGUUUUUUUUUUUUUUAAAUGAAACUGAAGAAGGGUGAAGAGAAGAGUUCAUGUAUUUUGCGACCAUCCAGAAGUAAUAAUAAUACUCAUUUACCAAGCACACCGGCCUAGACCUUUGGGUAUGCUAGGCCUUCUGUCUCUUCUUAUACCUGUUUUGUAGAUGGGCAAACUGGAAUUGGAUGAUGACAGUCACAUUUUAACAAAGCAACACCAGUAAAGGCUUCUUGUGCAUUUAGUGAGGGCGCCUAUGCACAGACAGGCCCCUCAGGGUGGAUGAAACCAGAGCUGGCUGAGCCGUGCCUGAAUCCUGUGGGCGGAGGAGCCCGGAAAAGCCAGGGAGCUGCCCCCCACUGAGGGGCAGCUUCUCAAAGGAGGGGACAAGGCCCCGGGUCUUGAGAACUGAAUCGGAGGCCGUCUGGGAAGAGGUCACCCUUCCUGCCAACAGUGUGAAGGACCCCAACCCUGACAGAGACCAGACCCUGGGAUCUGGAAUGUGUAUCCUGAGUGCAUUCUGCCACUGCCUCUUAGCCACCUUCCCUGAUGCUGUCUGGGAUGCAGGCAUUGCAUGCAGUUCACGUCGGAAGAUUCCACACUGCAAUCCAGAGACCAAAAGGAGCCCAUUGCGAUCUGGCUCUGGGGGACCCUGGGAUGAUAUCCCUACCCCCAGGGACAGGAACCAACCCCCGGGGACCUGGAGAGACUCUGUGCCCUGCAGGACCGAUGGGGGACUCCUCCCUGUAUGUACGUGUGCGUGGCCCUGCCUUGUUCUUGCCCCGGACCUGGCCUGGUGAAGGAGGCACGAGGAAGAUUGCAGUCAGGGACGCUCAGCCUGGGAGCUGACCCUCAGGUGAGGCCCUAAGGAAGUUCCCAGACCUCCCUGAACCUCAGUAUGCUCAUCUGUCCAGCAGCAACCCUGGGCCUUAAGUGAGAACAUCUAUGCGGAAGAGGCAGGUGCCAAUCAAGCCCUCUGUAAAGUUACCUCCCCUUUUCCCUUCUUCUCCUCUCACAGAGCUGAAGAAUAUUUUGCAAAGUUCAUUGUAAACAUUAAAAUAAUCUUGGGUGUUUAUCAUUCGUUAAACCUGUUGGGCUGACUUUAGGUCUACCGCUCUCAAAAAACCAAGAAUAAAUGGCACAGGGAGCU
rnacentral:lncRNA from 1 species